AAAUUGAAGAGUUUGAUCAUGGCUCAGAUUGAACGCUGGCGGCAGGCCUAACACAUGCAAGUCGAACGGUAACAGGAAACAGCUUGCUGUUUCGCUGACGAGUGGCGGACGGGUGAGUAAUGUCUGGGAAACUGCCUGAUGGAGGGGGAUAACUACUGGAAACGGUAGCUAAUACCGCAUAACGUCGCAAGACCAAAGAGGGGGACCCUCGGGCCUCUUGCCAUCGGAUGUGCCCAGAUGGGAUUAGCUUGUUGGUGGGGUAACGGCUCACCAAGGCGACGAUCCCUAGCUGGUCUGAGAGGAUGACCAGCCACACUGGAACUGAGACACGGUCCAGACUCCUACGGGAGGCAGCAGUGGGGAAUAUUGCACAAUGGGCGCAAGCCUGAUGCAGCCAUGCCGCGUGUAUGAAGAAGGCCUUCGGGUUGUAAAGUACUUUCAGCGGGGAGGAAGGGAGUAAAGUUAAUACCUUUGCUCAUUGACGUUACCCGCAGAAGAAGCACCGGCUAACUCCGUGCCAGCAGCCGCGGUAAUACGGAGGGUGCAAGCGUUAAUCGGAAUUACUGGGCGUAAAGCGCACGCAGGCGGUUUGUUAAGUCAGAUGUGAAAUCCCCGGGCUCAACCUGGGAACUGCAUCUGAUACUGGCAAGCUUGAGUCUCGUAGAGGGGGGUAGAAUUCCAGGUGUAGCGGUGAAAUGCGUAGAGAUCUGGAGGAAUACCGGUGGCGAAGGCGGCCCCCUGGACGAAGACUGACGCUCAGGUGCGAAAGCGUGGGGAGCAAACAGGAUUAGAUACCCUGGUAGUCCACGCCGUAAACGAUGUCGACUUGGAGGUUGUGCCCUUGAGGCGUGGCUUCCGGAGCUAACGCGUUAAGUCGACCGCACGGGAGUACGGCCGCAAGGUUAAAACUCAAAUGAAUUGACGGGGCCCGCACAAGCGGUGGAGCAUGUGGUUUAAUUCGAUGCAACGCGAAGAACCUUACGGUCUUGACAUCCACGGAAGUUUUCAGAGAUGAGAAUGUGCCUUCGGGAACCGUGAGACAGGUGCUGCAUGGCUGUCGUCAGCUCGUGUUGUGAAAUGUUGGGUUAAGUCCCGCAACGAGCGCAACCCUUAUCCUUUGUUGCCAGCGGUCCGGCCGGGAACUCAAAGGAGACUGCCAGUGAUAAACUGGAGGAAGGUGGGGAUGACGUCAAGUCAUCAUGGCCCUUGACGAGGGCUACACACGUGCUACAAUGGCGCAUACAAAGAGAAGCGACCUCGCGAGAGCAAGCGGACCUCAUAAAGUGCGUCGUAGUCCGGAUUGGAGUCUGCAACUCGACUCCAUGAAGUCGGAAUCGCUAGUAAUCGUGGAUCAGAAUGCCACGGUGAAUACGUUCCCGGGCCUUGUACACACCGCCCGUCACACCAUGGGAGUGGGUUGCAAAAGAAGUAGGUAGCUUAACCUUCGGGAGGGCGCUUACCACUUUGUGAUUCAUGACUGGGGUGAAGUCGUAACAAGGUAACCGUAGGGGAACCUGCGGUUGGAUCACCUCCUUACCUUAAAGAAGC
rnacentral:rRNA from 1 species